AUUCAGCUGACGAGUCCCAAAUAGGACGAAACGCCCGUCGUGGAU
rnacentral:hammerhead_ribozyme from 1 species